rnacentral:misc_RNA from 1 species
UAUGAGGAAUGUCAAGGGACCAGUGAGGGAAGGAGAUAUUCUUACCCUGUUGGAGUCUGAGAGGGAAGCUAGAAGAUUGCGUUGAUGGGGAUUCUUUCAAGGUCCCAGUUUUCCAGUUUGCAGUUGCUGAAAGUUAUCCUUUUAGUUUUAAUCUUACCUACAAAUAGAAUGGCUGUUAUCAUUUUUCCCUAUUUUAUGUGUGGUCUUUAGUGACAACCGUGUCCAAGACAUUUUUGGCUCUAAGCCAGAAUACGUGAACUGGAUGAGUAAUUUUUGAGUUUUG